rnacentral:rRNA from 1 species
UACGAAGGGGGCUAGCGUUGCUCGGAAUCACUGGGCGUAAAGCGCACGUAGGCGGAUCUUUAGGUCAGGGGUGAAAUCCUGGAGCUCAACUCCAGAACUGCCUUUGAUACUGGCGAUCUCGAGUCCGGAAGAGGUGAGUGGAACUCCUAGUGUAGAGGUGGAAUUCGUAGAUAUCAGGAGGAACACCGGUGGCGAAGGCGGGUCUCUAGUACGGUACUGACGCUGAGACGCGAAAGCGUGGGGAGCGAACAGG